rnacentral:rRNA from 1 species
UUUAUGGAGAGUUUGAUCCUGGCUCAGGAUGAACGCUGGCGGCGUGCCUAAUACAUGCAAGUCGAGCGAACAGACGAGGAGCUUGCUCCUCUGACGUUAGCGGCGGACGGGUGAGUAACACGUGGAUAACCUACCUAUAAGACUGGGAUAACUUCGGGAAACCGGAGCUAAUACCGGAUAAUAUAUUGAACCGCAUGGUUCAAUAGUGAAAGACGGUUUUGCUGUCACUUAUAGAUGGAUCCGCGCCGCAUUAGCUAGUUGGUAAGGUAACGGCUUACCAAGGCAACGAUGCGUAGCCGACCUGAGAGGGUGAUCGGCCACACUGGAACUGAGACACGGUCCAGACUCCUACGGGAGGCAGCAGUAGGGAAUCUUCCGCAAUGGGCGAAAGCCUGACGGAGCAACG